CAGUGCCAGGCAACAGCAAAGGCUGUUCUCCUUGCCUUCCAGACGGCCAUCACGAGACAGGGGAGGUAGAACCGCUGGCCAGGCAUAACCGAUAACGAGACCUGGGCUCUCCAUCGUGGCUCUGGAUGUGGCACCAUCACUGGAGCCCCCGAGGUAUCUGGAAAAGGAGGAAGCAUGACCUGGCCUGGUUCCAGUGCCUAACCACAGGCCAAGAGGCCAAAGGCAUCUCUUACCUCGUCAAAGUCUGGAUGUAAGAAUGGAAUGAGAUCAUGCAUUCAAAGUGCUAGACAUAGAGCCUGGCCCAAGAAGAAGAACUUAACCUCACAAUAAUUGAAUUUAAAUAACAUCCAAUUCCUUAAAGUCAAACAUGAUCUGCAUAAUAAACAAAGCAAGCUCCACAAGGGCCGGCGGGAAGAAAGGAGGUCGUAUUUUGUGUGGAUAUUCACAAUCAUGUCUGUUUCUAAUGCCCUCAGUCUGCCAUAGACUGUCCGUGUGUCUUUCUGUACAAUGUACCAUCACCAUCUCCACUGUUACCAAAGAGCUAAAAUUAAAG